rnacentral:rRNA from 1 species
UUAAUAGUUAAGGGCUUUAAAAUUAAAGAAUUUGGCGGUAUUUUAGUCUAUUCAGAGGAACCUGUCCUGUAAUUGAUAAUCCACGAUUUAUAAAACCAAUGUUUUAAAUUUAUAUAUCGUCGUAGUUUAAAUAUUUUAAAAGAAUAUAAAUAUUUAAAAUUUUUUUUAGAAAAUAAAUNAGAUCAAGAUGUAGUUUAUAUAUUGGUAGAGAUGGGUUACAAUAAAUAUAUUUAUGGAUAAAUAAUUGAAAAUUAUUUUAAAAAUGGAUUUGAAAGUAAUUUUAUAUAAAUUUAUAAAAUGAUUAAGCUCUAAAAUAUGU